rnacentral:rRNA from 1 species
GGGGGAGGAAUGUCUGUGGAUUGUAAACCCCUUUUCUCAGGGAAGAAGUUCUGACGGUACCUGAGGAAUCAGCAUCGGCUAACUCCGUGCCAGCAGCCGCGGUAAGACGGAGGAUGCAAGCGUUAUCCGGAAUUAUUGGGCGUAAAGCGUCCGUAGGCGGUUAAUCAAGUCUGUUGUCAAAGACUGCAGCUCAACUGUGGAAAGGCAAUGGAAACUGAAUAACUGGAGUGCGGUAGGGGUAGAGGGAAUUCCCAGUGUAGCGGUGAAAUGCGUAGAUAUUGGGAAGAACACCAGUGGCGAAGGCGCUCUACUGGGCCGUAACUGACGCUGAGGGACGAAAGCUAGGGGAGCGAAAGGGAUUAGAUACCCCUGUAGUCCUAGCUGUAAACGAUGGAUACUAGGUGUUGGACGUAUCGACCCGUUCAGUACCGCAGCCAACGCGAUAAGUAUCCCGCCUGGGGAGUACGCACGCAAGUGUGAAACUCAAAGGAAUUGACGGGGGCCCGCACAAGCGGUGGAGUAUGUGGUUUAAUUCGAUGCAACGCGAAGAACCUUACCAGGGCUUGACAUCCCUCGAAUCCUCGAGAAAUUGAGGAGUGCCUUCGGGAGCGAGGAGACAGGUGGUGCAUGGCUGUCGUCAGCUCGUGUCGUGAGAUGUUGGGUUAAGUCCCGCAACGAGCGCAACCCACGUCCUUAGUUGCCAUCAUUCAGUUGGGCACUCUGGGGAGACUGCCGGGGACAACUCGGAGGAAGGUGUGGAUGACGUCAAGUCAUCAUGCCCCUUACGUUCUGGGCUACACACGUACUACAAUGCUUCGGACAAAGGGCAGCAAGCGUGCGAGCGCAAGCUAAUCCCAUAAACCGAGGCACAGUUCAGAUUGCAGGCUGCAACUCGCCUGCAUGAAGGAGGAAUCGCUAGUAAUCGCAGGUCAGCAUACUGCGGUGAAUACGUUCCCGGGCCUUGUACACACC